rnacentral:rRNA from 1 species
CGGAGAUAGCUGGUUCUCUCCGAAAUAGCUUUAGGGCUAGCCUCAAUUAACAUUACCGCAGGUAAAGCACUGAAUGAGCUAGGGGGCGAAAGCUUACUGAACUCUAUCAAACUCAGAAUGGCGGAUAAUGAAUGAUUGGGAGUCACACUACGUGAGAUAAGUUUCGUGGUGGAAAGGGAAACAGCCCAGACCCACAGCUAAGGUCCCAAAGUACAGUUAAGUGGAAAAGGAUGUGAAAUUGCGCAGACAACCAGGAUGUUGGCUCAGAAGCAGCCACUCAUUCAAAGAGUGCGUAAUAGCUCACUGGUCGAGUGAUUUUGCGCCGAAAAUUUAACGGGGCUAAACUGUACACCGAAGCUUGGGAAUAUACAUUUGUAUGUUGGUAGGAGAGCGUUGUGUAAGGGGUGAAGUCGUAGCGAAAGCGGCGGUGGACUUUACACAAGUGAGAAUGCCGGAAUGAGUAGCGAGAAUUAUGUGAGAAUCAUAAUGGCCGAAAGACUAAGGUUUUAGAAGGAAGGUUCGUCCGCUUCUAGUUAGCCGGGAGCUAAGGCGAGGCCGAGAGGCGUAGUCGAUGCACAUACGGUUGAGAUUCCGUAGCUACCUUGCAUUUAAGCGAAGGGACACAUUUGAAGGGCAUGACCCGGGCGUUGGUUGACCCGGGCGUAAGGGACCGAAAAUAAGUAGGGAAGCAUGCUUGGAUGGUGGCGAGAAAAGCUUCGUGUAUAUAAGCAGGGUACCCGUACUGCAAACCGACACAGGUAGUCAGGAAGAGGAUUCUAAGGCCAUCGGGAGAAGCGUUGUUAAGGAACUCGGCAAAUUGACCCCGUAACUUCGGAAUAAGGGGUGCUCACGCGAGUGAGCCGCAGUGAAUAGGUCCAGGCAACUGUUUAUCAAAAACACAGCUCUCUGCUAAAUCGUAAGAUGACGUAUAGGGGGUGACACCUGCCCGGUGCUGGAAGGUUAAGAGGAGGGGUGCAAGCUCCGAAUUGAAGCCCCAGUAAACGGCGGCCGUAACUAUAACGGUCCUAAGGUAGCGAAAUUCCUUGUCGGGUAAGUUCCGACCCGCACGAAUGGUGUAAUGAUCUGGACACUGUCUCAACAACGCACCCGGCGAAAUUGUAGUACCGGUGAAGAUGCCGGUUACCCGCGGCAAGACGGAAAGACCCCAUGGAGCUUCACUGUAGCCUGAUAUUGGGUCUCGGUAUUUUAUGUACAGGAUAGGCGGGAGACUUGGAAACCAGCACGCCAGUGUUGGCGGAGUCACCCUUGGGAUACCGCUCUUAAAGUAUUGAGAUUCUAACCUGCAGCCAUGAAUCUGGCUGGGGGACAUUGUCAGGUGGGCAGUUUGACUGGGGCGGUCGCCUCCAAAAGAGUAACGGAGGCGUUCAAAGGUUCACUCAGCAUGGACGGAAACCAUGCCUUAGAGUGCAAACGCAUAAGUGAGCCUAACUGCGAGACUGACGGGUCGAGCAGUAACGAAAGUUGGAGUUAGUGAUCCGGCGGUAUGUGAGUGGAAAUGCCGUCGCUCAACGGAUAAAAGCUACCCUGGGGAUAACAGGCUGAUCUCCCCCAAGAGUCCACAUCGACGGGGAGGUUUGGCACCUCGAUGUCGGCUCAUCACAUCCUGGGGCUGAAUUCGGUCCCAAGGGUUCGGCUGUUCGCCGAUUAAAGUGGUACGCGAGCUGGGUUCAGAACGUCGUGAGACAGUUCGGUCCCUAUCUGUCGUGGGCGUAGGAUAUUUGAAGGGCGCUGUUCCUAGUACGAGAGGACCGGAAUGGACGCACCGCUGGUGUAUCGGUUGUCAUGCCAAUGGCACGGCCGAGCAGCUAUGUGCGGAUGGGAUAAACGCUGAAAGCAUCUAAGCGUGAAGCCCUCCCUAAGAUAAGAUAUCCCACUGUUUACAGUUAAGACCCCUUAUGGACUAUGAGGUUGAUAGGCUGCGUGUGUAAGUAUGGUGACAUAUUUAGCUAGGCAGUACUAAUAGGUCGAGGGCUUGACCU